AACGAACGCUGGCGGCAUGCCUAACACAUGCAAGUCGAACGAGACCUUCGGGUCUAGUGGCGCACGGGUGCGUAACGCGUGGGAACCUGCCCUUAGGUUCGGAAUAACUCCCCGAAAGGGGUGCUAAUACCGGAUAAUGUCUUCGGACCAAAGAUUUAUCGCCUUUGGAUGGGCCCGCGUUGGAUUAGCUAGUUGGUAGGGUAAAAGCCUACCAAGGCGACGAUCCAUAGCUGGUCUGAGAGGAUGAUCAGCCACACUGGGACUGAGACACGGCCCAGACUCCUACGGGAGGCAGCAGUGGGGAAUAGUGGAAAAGGGGCGAAAGCCUGAUCCAGCAAUGCCGCGUGAGUGAUGAAGGCCUUAGGGUUGUAAAGCUCUUUUAACCGGGAUGAUAAUGACAGUACCGGGAGAAUAAGCUCCGGCUAACUCCGUG
rnacentral:rRNA from 1 species